GGGACGAACGCUGGCGGCGUGCUUAACACAUGCAAGUCGAGCGGUAAGGCCUUUCGGGGUACACGAGCGGCGAACGGGUGAGUAACACGUGGGUGAUCUGCCCUGCACUCUGGGAUAAGCCUGGGAAACUGGGUCUAAUACCGGAUAUGACCUGCUCUCGCAUGGGGGUGGGUGGAAAGAUUUAUCGGUGCAGGAUGGGCCCGCGGCCUAUCAGCUUGUUGGUGGGGUAAUGGCCUACCAAGGCGACGACGGGUAGCCGACCUGAGAGGGUGACCGGCCACACUGGGACUGAGACACGGCCCAGACUCCUACGGGAGGCAGCAGUGGGAAUAUUGCACAAUGGGCGAAAGCCUGAUGCAGCGACGCCGCGUGAGGAUGAAGGCCUUCGGGUUGUAAACCUCUUUCAGCAGGACGAAGCGCAAGUGAACGGUACCUGCAGAAGAAGCACCGGCUAACGUACGUGACUAGCAGCCGC
rnacentral:rRNA from 1 species